UACGGAGGGUGCAAGCGUUAAUCGGAAUUACUGGGCGUAAAGCGCACGCAGGUGGCUGAGUCAGUCGAUUGUGAAAGCCCUGGGCUUAACCUGGGAAUUGCAGUCGAUACUACUUAGCUAGAGUAUGGGAGAGGGCAGUGGAAUUCCCGGUGUAGCGGUGAAAUGCGUAGAUAUCGGAAGGAACAUCAGUGGCGAAAGCGACUUCCUGGACCAAUACUGACGCUCAUGUGCGAAAGCGUGGGGAGCAAACAGG
rnacentral:rRNA from 1 species